rnacentral:rRNA from 1 species
UACGGGGGGGGCAAGCGUUGUUCGGAAUUACUGGGCGUAAAGGGCGCGUAGGCGGCCUUCUAAGUCGAACGUGAAAUCCCUGGGCUCAACCCAGGAACUGCGUCCGAGACUGGGAGGCUAGAAUCCGGGAGAGGGAUGUGGAAUUCCAGGUGUAGCGGUGAAAUGCGUAGAUAUCUGGAGGAACAUCGGUGGCGAAGGCGGCAUCCUGGACCGGUAUUGACGCUGAGGCGCGAAAGCCAGGGGAGCAAACGGG